rnacentral:rRNA from 1 species
GAUGAACGCUGACAGAAUGCUUAACACAUGCAGUCACUGAUUGUGGCGGACGGGUGAGUAACUCGUACAGAACUUGCCUCACAGCUAGGGCCAACAUUUAGAAAUGAAUGCUAACACCUGAUACUGUGAGAGAGCUUUGCGUCCCAUUAGCUAGAUGGAGCGGUAACAGCUCACCAAGGCGAUGAUGGGUAGCCGGCCUGAGAGGGUGAACGGCGACAAGGGGACUGAGACACGGCCCUUACUCCUACGGGAGGCAGCAGUGGGGAAUAGUGAACAAUGGACCGAAGUCUGAUCCAGGAAUUCUGUGUGCACGAUGAAGUUUUCGGAAUGUAAAGUGCUUUCAGUUGGGAAGCGGUACCAACAGAAGAAGUGACGGCUAAAUACGUGCCAGCAGCCGCGGUAAUAC